GCUGGGCAAGAUGCUGGAAUAGUCCUUGCUCCGAGUGGGCUGGGACACGAUAUUGCUAAAUGUUUAUCUCUUUGCUCAAAUGGUUGAGGGUUUGGUGGUUCUCCUGGGGCCAAUCUAGUGAUGGAGGUAAUGUCCAGCAGGGUUUGAUCCUGAACCAUGGAGAUCUGGCUGGUUGGUUCUGAUGAAAGUGAAGAGCUGCUUGAUGUGACGCUGGAAGAGUUUGACGUAGCGAAUGGGGGUAUUUUCUGAGCAUUAUGGUCACUCCUGUUCCUCUGCGUGCUAGUGACAUUUAGAGCUGGGUGUUGUGAAGCCCUAAAGAAAGACAAACACACACUUUGUCCUCUGGACUGGGCUGAAGGUUUGUAAGACAUUUUUAGGCCUAUUUCAGGACAAUUUUAAGCCUGUUUCCCACAACUGCAUUUCCCCAUAGGCUGUUUUGCUUCUCAUGUCUGUGUAAAACCCUCUGCUUCUCAUGAACAAGAAAAAAGUGCUUGAGAAUAAGGCACAUAAAUUCAGGACCAGUUCCUCCCUCGUGCCAUCUAAGCAGCUAUUAUCAGUGUGAUAAUCACUGGCAUAUCAGUGUUCUUCCCAGAAGUCAUACAGCUCUGCAAGAACCAGGGAUUUGGUGCUGGGGAAGGACAGGAAAGGGAAGAAAGCUACUGGCAUAUUGACUGUGACAAAUUCCAGUAAGAAUGCAAAAGGAUAAAACCUGGCUUGCAAGUUGCCACAACACCUGCCCUCGAUCAUUCCUGAAAAGUGUGAAGACCUGCCUUCACUUUGGACCCACAUACUUUAGUCUCCUGAUAGCUCCGCACAGUCACCCAAUGUAUUAGGGGAUGAAUAAACAGGCAAAAUAAAAACAGAAGGGCAGCACAGGAUGACAUCAGCGUUCCUGUGGUGACAUUGUAGGACAUUUCUUUUAUAUAGCUUGGUAUGUAAAGGACUUUUCUUCCCCUCCCUCCCCCAAGCUGUAGACUGUGUACAGGCAGAGAAGAUACCAAUGUUUUUUUUUCUAUGGCUAAAUUUUACUUAGUUUGGCAAGAGAGAAAGAUGUACCUCUGUAGACUGGAAUUGUGCUGAUGGGUAGCAAAUGCAGCUAGAAAUGCCUUGACCUUGAAGGGGAACACAAACAUAUCGACUGUGCAGAUCAUGAUUCAGGAUUUCUAACAGCCAAAGGACAUGACAAACUUCUGUAGCAAUAGCAG
rnacentral:lncRNA from 1 species